UGAGGAAUAUUGGUCAAUGGCCGGGAGGCUGAACCAGCCAUGCCGCGUGAAGGUCACGGCCCUAUGGGUCUUAAACUUCUUUUGUAAGGGAGCAAUAAGGUUCACGUGUGGACUGAUGAGAGUACCUUACGAAUAAGCAUCGGCUAACUCCGUGCCAGCAGCCGCGGUAAUACGGGGGAUGCAAGCGUUAUCCGGAUUUAUUGGGUUUAAAGGGUGCGUAGGCGGCGUCUUAAGUCAGCGGUGAAAUUUAGGGGCUCAACCUCUACCGUGCCGUUGAUACUGGGAUGCUGGAAUGCGGAUGCCGUGGGAGGAAUGUGUGGUGUAGCGGUGAAAUGCAUAGAUAUCACACAGAACACCGAUUGCGAAGGCAUCUCACGAAUCCGCAAUUGACGCUGAGGCACGAAAGCGUGGGGAUCAAACAGG
rnacentral:rRNA from 2 species